UACGUAGGUGGCAAGCGUUGUCCGGAAUUAUUGGGCGUAAAGCGCGCGCAGGCGGUCCUUUAAGUCUGAUGUGAAAGCCCACGGCUUAACCGUGGAGGGUCAUUGGAAACUGGGGGACUUGAGUACAGAAGAGGAGAGUGGAAUUCCACGUGUAGCGGUGAAAUGCGUAGAGAUGUGGAGGAACACCAGUGGCGAAGGCGACUCUCUGGUCUGUAACUGACGCUGGGGCGCGAAAGCAUGGGUAGCGAACAGG
rnacentral:rRNA from 1 species